CAAAGGAGAAGUUGUUGAGGGUGAGGACCAGCUCCGCUAGGCAGAGUAGAGUGUUAGUAGAGGGAAAUUGGAUGGCUCUGGGGUUGAAGAAGAAACGGAGGGGUUAGAUUAUUGUGUGCAGUU